rnacentral:rRNA from 1 species
AGUGAACGCUGGCGGUAGGCCUAACACAUGCAAGUCGAACGGCAGCACAGUAGGAGCUUGCUCUUACGGGUGGCGAGUGGUGGACGGGUGAGGAAUACAUCGGAAUCUACUUUUUCGUGGGGGAUAACGUAGGGAAACUUACGCUAAUACCGCAUACGACCUACGGGUGAAAGCAGGGGAUCUUCGGACCUUGCGCGAUUGAAUGAGCCGAUGUCGGAUUAGCUAGUUGGCGGGGUAAAGGCCCACCAAGGCGACGAUCCGUAGCUGGUCUGAGAGGAUGAUCAGCCACACUGGAACUGAGACACGGUCCAGACUCCUACGGGAGGCAGCAGUGGGGAAUAUUGGACAAUGGGCGCAAGCCUGAUCCAGCCAUACCGCGUGGGUGAAGAAGGCCUUCGGGUUGUAAAGCCCUUUUGUUGGGAAAGAAAAGCAGCAGGUUAAUACCCCGCUGUUCUGACGGUACCCAAAGAAUAAGCACCGGCUAACUUCGUG